CCGUGGGCCCGACCACUGCCGCCAAGUCGCGGCGCCACGGGUGGCGUCCUGUAGCCAGCCCGUGGGCCCGACCACUGCCGCCAAGUCGCAGCCCCACGGGUGGCGUCCUUCAGCCAGCCCGUGGGCCCGACCACUGCCGCCAAGUCGCAGCCCCACGGGUGGCGUCCUUCAGCCAGCCCGUGGGCCCGACCACUGCCGCCAAGUCGCAGCCCCACAGGUGGCGUCCUUCAGCCAGCCCGUGGGCCCGACCACUGCCGCCAAGUCGCAGCCCCACAGGUGGCGUCCUUCAGCCAGCCCGUGGGCCCGACCACUGCCGCCAAGUCGCAGCCCCACGGGUGGCGUCCUUCAGCCAGCCCGUGGGCCCGACCACUGCCGCCAAGUCGCAGCCCCACGGGUGGCGUCCUUCAGCCAGCCCGUGGGCCCGACCACUGCCGCCAAGUCGCAGCCCCACAGGUGGUCUCCUUUUGUCAACACGUUGGGCCGACUGCAACCGCCAAGUCGACAGCUCUCUCAUCAGUAUCCCACACCAGUAGCCGGAGCCCGGUCGCUCGCGGUACACUCAUUCUGGAAGACGAUUUUAGCUGUCACAAUGGUUGGGGCUUCUAGUUCCAAUGGAUCGGAAACGUUUUGCAUCGUCCCUAACCCCAGUUUUGGGAACA